rnacentral:rRNA from 1 species
GAUGAACGCUAGCUACAGGCUUAACACAUGCAAGUCGAGGGACCGGCACACGGGUGAGUAACACGUAUCCAACCUGCCAUUUACUCGGGGAUAGCCUUUCGAAAGAAAGAUUAAUACCCGAUAUAAAGGAUGGGGAUGCGUUCCAUUAGGUUGUUGGUGAGGUAACGGCGCACCAAGCAUGCGAUGGAUAGGGGUUCGGAGAGGAAUGUCCCCCACAUUGGAACUGAGACACGGUCUAAUAUCCGACGGGAGGCAGCAGUGAGGAAUAUUGGGCAAUGGGCGCUAGCCUGAACCAGCCAAGUAGCGGGAAGGAUGAAGGCGUAGGGGUCGUAAAUGUCUUUUAUAUAAGAAUAGGUAUUAUAUGAAUAAGGAUCGGCUAACUCCGUGCCAGCAGCCGCGGUAAUAC